AAUGCCUGCUGGGAGCUCUACUGC
rnacentral:piRNA from 2 species